GACGAACGCUGGCGGCGUGCUUAACACAUGCAAGUCGAACGGAAAGGCCCUGCUUUUGUGGGGUGCUCGAGUGGCGAACGGGUGAGUAACACGUGAGUAACCUGCCCUUGACUUUGGGAUAACUUCAGGAAACUGGGGCUAAUACCGGAUAGGAGCUCCUGCUGCAUGGGGGGGGUUGGAAAGUUUCGGCGGUUGGGGAUGGACUCGCGGCUUAUCAGCUUGUUGGUGGGGUAGUGGCUUACCAAGGCUUUGACGGGUAGCCGGCCUGGGAGGGUGACCGGCCACAUUGGGCCUGAGAUACGGCCCAGACUCCUACGGGAGGCAGCAGUGGGGAAUAUUGCACAAUGGGCGGAAGCCUGAUGCAGCAACGCCGCGUGCGGGAUGACGGCCUUCGGGUUGUAAACCGCUUUCGCCUGUGACGAAGCGUGAGUGACGGUAAUGGGUAAAGAAGCACCGGCUAACUACGUG
rnacentral:rRNA from 1 species